GCUUGUCUACAGUAACCAAUGUAUUAAAUAUUAUUGGGUCAGCAUUUAGUAUUGGUAAUGAGACACUGAACAAGAUUCAGAGGGUAGCCGUGUUAGUCUGGAUCUGUAAAAGC